rnacentral:rRNA from 3 species
CUCAGAUUGAACGCUGGCGGCAGGCCUAACACAUGCAAGUCGAACGGUAACAGGAAGCAGCUUGCUGCUUUGCUGACGAGUGGCGGACGGGUGAGUAAUGUCUGGGAAACUGCCUGAUGGAGGGGGAUAACUACUGGAAACGGUGGCUAAUACCGCAUAACGUCGCAAGACCAAAGAGGGGGACCUUCGGGCCUCUUGCCAUCAGAUGUGCCCAGAUGGGAUUAGCUUGUUGGUGAGGUAACGGCUCACCAAGGCGACGAUCCCUAGCUGGUCUGAGAGGAUGACCAGCCACACUGGAACUGAGACACGGUCCAGACUCCUACGGGAGGCAGCAGUGGGGAAUAUUGCACAAUGGGCGCAAGCCUGAUGCAGCCAUGCCGCGUGUAUGAAGAAGGCCUUCGGGUUGUAAAGUACUUUCAGCGGGGAGGAAGGUGUUGUGGUUAAUAACCGCAGCAAUUGACGUUACCCGCAGAAGAAGCACCGGCUAACUCCGUGCCAGCAGCCGCGGUAAUACGGAGGGUGCAAGCGUUAAUCGGAAUUACUGGGCGUAAAGCGCACGCAGGCGGUCUGUCAAGUCGGAUGUGAAAUCCCCGGGCUCAACCUGGGAACUGCAUUCGAAACUGGCAGGCUUGAGUCUUGUAGAGGGGGGUAGAAUUCCAGGUGUAGCGGUGAAAUGCGUAGAGAUCUGGAGGAAUACCGGUGGCGAAGGCGGCCCCCUGGACAAAGACUGACGCUCAGGUGCGAAAGCGUGGGGAGCAAACAGGAUUAGAUACCCUGGUAGUCCACGCCGUAAACGAUGUCUACUUGGAGGUUGUGCCCUUGAGGCGUGGCUUCCGGAGCUAACGCGUUAAGUAGACCGCCUGGGGAGUACGGCCGCAAGGUUAAAACUCAAAUGAAUUGACGGGGGCCCGCACAAGCGGUGGAGCAUGUGGUUUAAUUCGAUGCAACGCGAAGAACCUUACCUGGUCUUGACAUCCACAGAAGAAUCCAGAGAUGGAUUUGUGCCUUCGGGAACUGUGAGACAGGUGCUGCAUGGCUGUCGUCAGCUCGUGUUGUGAAAUGUUGGGUUAAGUCCCGCAACGAGCGCAACCCUUAUCCUUUGUUGCCAGCGGUUAGGCCGGGAACUCAAAGGAGACUGCCAGUGAUAAACUGGAGGAAGGUGGGGAUGACGUCAAGUCAUCAUGGCCCUUACGACCAGGGCUACACACGUGCUACAAUGGCGCAUACAAAGAGAAGCGACCUCGCGAGAGCAAGCGGACCUCAUAAAGUGCGUCGUAGUCCGGAUUGGAGUCUGCAACUCGACUCCAUGAAGUCGGAAUCGCUAGUAAUCGUGGAUCAGAAUGCCACGGUGAAUACGUUCCCGGGCCUUGUACACACCGCCCGUCACACCAUGGGAGUGGGUUGCAAAAGAAGUAGGUAGCUUAACCUUCGGGAGGGCGCUUACCACUUUGUGAUUCAUGACUGGGGUGAAGUCGUAACAAGGUAACCGUAGGGGAACCUGCGGUUGGA